CCUACGGGAGGCAGCAGUAGGGAAUCUUCCGCAAUGGACGAAAGUCUGACGGAGCAACGCCGCGUGAGCGAAGAAGGCCUUCGGGUCGUAAAGCUCUGUUGUUAGGGAAGAACAAGUGCCAGAGUAACUGCUGGCACCUUGACGGUACCUAACCAGAAAGCCACGGCUAACUACGUGCCAGCAGCCGCGGUAAUACGUAGGUGGCAAGCGUUGUCCGGAAUUAUUGGGCGUAAAGCGCGCGCAGGUGGUUCCUUAAGUCUGAUGUGAAAGCCCACGGCUCAACCGUGGAGGGUCAUUGGAAACUGGGGGACUUGAGUGCAGAAGAGGAAAGUGGAAUUCCAAGUGUAGCGGUGAAAUGCGUAGAGAUUUGGAGGAACACCAGUGGCGAAGGCGACUUUCUGGUCUGUAACUGACACUGAGGCGCGAAAGCGUGGGGAGCGAACAGGAUUAGAUACCCUGGUAGUCCACGCCGUAAACGAUGAGUGCUAAGUGUUAGAGGGUUUCCGCCCUUUAGUGCUGCAGCUAACGCAUUAAGCACUCCGCCUGGGGAGUACGGCCGCAAGGCUGAAACUUAAAGGAAUUGACGG
rnacentral:rRNA from 1 species